rnacentral:lncRNA from 1 species
UGGGGCCAGAGCUGUUACAGCGGUGCCAGAUUUUGGAGCAGAAGAUAGCCACCUUUGAGAACAUUGUCUGCGUUUUGAACCGGGAGGUAGAGAGGGUAGCAGUGACUGCAGAGGCUUGUAGCCGGCAGCACCGUCUGGACCAGGACAAGAUUGAGGCCCUAAGCAACAAGGUUUGUACUUAGCUAGGUCUUUGGAGUCUGGGCAAUGUCGAACCCUUACACUGAUGUCUUGGGCUCUGGCCGUCUGUUUUCUGAUUCUCCUACUUUACUCUGUGAGGUUCAGUUAGAGCGUUGGAUGGGCUAGCAACUGAAAGCUCUUUUUGGCCUAGGAGGGCACAGCAUCAGUCACGGCACUAGGCUGGAGCUGUGAAGCUCCCGGGUACAUGUAUGUCCAGAGCCUUCCAUGUGUACUUGGAACAUUUUCCUAACACGGGACAGAAAAGACUCCAGAGGCUAGCAGUGGGGGAGGGGAGCUCAGGGCCCACAGCAUAUGACGUCAGAGUUAAGUGGUCUAUGCUCUGCAGGUGCAGCAGCUGGAGAGGAGCAUCGGCCUCAAGGACCUGGCCAUGGCUGACCUGGAGCAGAAGGUCUCAGAGUUGGAGGUGUCCACCUAUGAUGGGGUCUUCAUCUGGAAGAUCUCCGACUUCGCCAGAAAACGUCAGGAAGCCAUCGCUGGCCGGACACCUGCUAUCUUCUCCCCAGGUGCUGUCUGUGGUC